AAAACCUUCCUGAUCAAUAGUCUACUUCCUCUUUUUGGACUCCCUGAAACUAGCCAUUUAGUUUCCUAUUCUGAAGGGCAAAUCCAUGAAUCCACCGUACCUUCACCUCUUGGAGGAACAUUCUCCAAACCUUUGUCAUGGUGAAAAUCCGAUGAAGGAGUUGAGUAGUUCAACUUACAGUUGUCAAAACACCUCAAGUGAUCUUGAUUCCCACUGUUGUUUGAUCGUACCCCAUCAUUUCUCAGUCGCAUCCCUUCUGCUGUUUCGUGACUUGGCAGUCCACUCAGGUUUACAUUAAUUUGUCCAUGGCUCAUACC
rnacentral:misc_RNA from 1 species